rnacentral:lncRNA from 1 species
CUGCUUGCUGCUUGAGACUGAGUAACUGCUAGAUCCUUGGACUUCCAUUCACAGCUGCGACUGAACAAUUGUUGGGAAUUGGGCUGCCGACUAGCAUGAGAUUAAAUUCUCUUUUGAAAUCUUCAUUGAUCAUACCUUGAUUCACACUGGAAAGUUGAAGAAUCCUUUGAGUUGUAUCAUUCAGUAUAUUUUCUGCUUCUGCAUGUUGUAUACAACUACUGUGAAAACUGAUGGUGAUCUUGUAUUCUCAAGAUUGUGGUCUUCUAAAUUUGCUGGCAAGAUAUUACAAUAGGAAGUGAGCCAUGCAUUUGAAGUACA